CCUACGGGGGGCUGCAGUGGGGAAUAUUGGACAAUGGGGCAACCCUGAUCCAGCCAUGCCGCGUGUGUGAAGAAGGCCCUCGGGUUGUAAAGCACUUUCAGUGAGGAAGAACGCCUGGUGGUUAAUACCCAUCAGGAAAGACAUCACUCACAGAAGAAGCACCGGCUAACUCCGUGCCAGCAGCCGCGGUAAUACGGAGGGUGCGAGCGUUAAUCGGAAUUACUGGGCGUAAAGCGCGCGUAGGUGGCUUGAUAAGCCGGUUGUGAAAGCCCCGGGCUCAACCUGGGAACGGCAUCCGGAACUGUCAAGCUAGAGUGCAGGAGAGGAAGGUAGAAUUCCCGGUGUAGCGGUGAAAUGCGUAGAGAUCGGGAGGAAUACCAGUGGCGAAGGCGGCCUUCUGGACUGACACUGACACUGAGGUGCGAAAGCGUGGGUAGCAAACAGGAUUAGAUACCCGGGUAGUC
rnacentral:rRNA from 1 species